AAGAGGGAACCCGGUGUGAGUCCGGGACUGCCCCGCAGCGGUGAGCGGGAACGACCGCCGUCAUCACGCACUGGGCCGCACGGCCUGGGAAGCGACGGCCAGUAGGACGCCUUUCGAGGCGGCGCCCGCGAGUCCGAAGACCU
rnacentral:ncRNA from 1 species